UGCCCAGAAGCGGGGGAUAACACCUGGAAACAGAUGCUAAUACCGCAUAACAACUUGGACCGCAUGGUCCGAGCUUGAAAGAUGGCUUCGGCUAUCACUUUUGGAUGGUCCCGCGGCGUAUUAGCUAGAUGGUGGGGUAACGGCUCACCAUGGCAAUGAUACGUAGCCGACCUGAGAGGGUAAUCGGCCACAUUGGGACUGAGACACGGCCCAAACUCCUACGGGAGGCAGCAGUAGGGAAUCUUCCACAAUGGACGAAAGUCUGAUGGAGCAACGCCGCGUGAGUGAAGAAGGGUUUCGGCUCGUAAAACUCUGUUGUUAAAGAAGAACAUAUCUGAGAGUAACUGUUCAGGUAUUGACGGUAUUUAACCAGAAAGCCACGGCUAACUACGUGCCAGCAGCCGCGGUAAUACGUAGGUGGCAAGCGUUGUCCGGAUUUAUUGGGCGUAAAGCGAGCGCAGGCGGUUUUUUAAGUCUGAUGUGAAAGCCUUCGGCUCAACCGAAGAAGUGCAUCGGAAACUGGGAAACUUGAGUGCAGAAGAGGACAGUGGAACUCCAUGUGUAGCGGUGAAAUGCGUAGAUAUAUGGAAGAACACCAGUGGCGAAGGCGGCUGUCUGGUCUGUAACUGACGCUGAGGCUCGAAAGUAUGGGUAGCAAACAGGAUUAGAUACCCUGGGUAGUCCAUACCGUAAACGAUGAAUGCUAAGUGUUGGAGGGUUUCCGCCCCUUCAGUGCUGC
rnacentral:rRNA from 1 species